rnacentral:ncRNA from 1 species
GACGACCGGCCGGAGUGUGUCAGUGGUGCCCGCGAGGGAGCCCGAGACUCCGGCCACAAGUGGAGGCUCCGCACUCCCACCUGAUCGCCCGCACGGGCGGCGGGUCACCGGUCAGACGGCACCGCACCCGAGGCGGUGGACGUCCGAAGUCGCGCCCCGCGAACACGCGGCGGUGCUCCGGUCAGUACAGGAGCCCCGCUCGUGAUCGUCCGGGGCAUUUUUC